rnacentral:rRNA from 1 species
AUACGUAGGGGGCGAGCGUUGUCCGGAAUUACUGGGCGUAAAGGGCGUGUAGGCGGCCGAGCAAGUCAAGUGUGAAACGCCUCGGCUUAACCGAGGCAUUGCACAUGAAACUGCUUGGCUUGAGUGCAGGAGAGGGAAGUGGAAUUCCUAGUGUAGCGGUGAAAUGCGUAGAUAUUAGGAGGAACACCAGUGGCGAAGACGACUUCCUGGACUGUAACUGACGCUGAGGCGCGAAAGCGUGGGUAGCAAACAGGAGUAGAUACCCUGGUAGUCCACGCCGUAAACGAUGGGUACGAGGUGUGGGUAGUUCACACUAUCCGUGCCGCAGCAAACGCAAUAAGUACCCCGCCUGGGGAGUACGGCCGCAAGGUUGAA